rnacentral:rRNA from 1 species
UACAGAGGUCCCGAGCGUUGUUCGGAUUCAUUGGGCGUAAAGGGUGCGUAGGCGGCGGGGCAAGUCUGAUGUGAAAUCCUGGGGCUCAACCCUGGAACUGCAUUGGAUACUGCCUUGCUAGAGUACUGGAGAGGAAACUGGAAUUUACGGUGUAGCAGUGAAAUGCGUAGAUAUCGAUCGGAACACCCAUGGCGAAGGCAGCUCGCUGGCCUGCAACUGACGCUGAGGCACGAAAGCGUGGGGAGCAAACAGG